CUAGCGUUGCUCGGAAUCACUGGGCGUAAAGCGCACGUAGGCGGAUUGUUAAGUCAGUGGUGAAAUCCUGGAGCUCAACUCCAGAACUGCCUUUGAUACUGGCGAUCUCGAGUCCGGGAGAGGUGAGUGGAACUGCGAGUGUAGAGGUGAAAUUCGUAGAUAUUCGCAAGAACACCAGUGGCGAAGGCGGCUCACUGGCCCGGUACUGACGCUGAGGUGCGAAAGCGUGGGGAGCAAACAGG
rnacentral:rRNA from 1 species